GGGGAGACUGACCUGUGAGUGUGGAAAGCCGCUGCCGACCUGUGGAGUCCGGGUGGAGAGCCGCUGCAGACCUGCGGGGAGUCCUGGUCCGUUGAGCCGCUGUCGACCUGCGGUGAAUCCUGGUCCGAAGAACCGCUGCUAGGAAGACUGCGCGCGCACACAUAUGUGCUCACCUUUCAGACGGGUGUUAUUCGCUGGCUGUGCACCAGUUGUACCCAGAGGUGGCGUUCUGUACUUUCUCUACUCCUGGGAAAUAGAGCAGAACAAGGUCGGCCCACUGACUCACUCGCAGCGAGUUACAGCCACACCUCAGCACACAAGGAAGACUUCGGCCGAGGAAGUUCAAAUGGCUUCGCUUUAAACUUGCUGAUCCUUAUGUCAAAACGACCUUGACUUCACCUACUUGGACCCAGAGCACAAAGUAAAAGGGUUUGGAUCCAAGUACAAAAGGAAAAUUUGAGGUUCCAGGAGACAGACUACCGGAGUUUUGAUUUCAGCAGCUGUGGACUCCUGCCAUCAGUGAAGGCUGCCCCCCUUGCUUGAGUGUGGGCAGAGGGGGGUGAACAUUGUGUUGCCCAGUUUUUUAAAAAAUCUGUUUUGUGAGAAGAGUCUGUGAAAGCCAGGAGAAAUGAGUGAAUUCUGGUUGUGUUUUGGCUGCUCAGAAGUGGAGAAGGCGCAACCG